rnacentral:ncRNA from 1 species
CAGGGCAUGGCGCAGCACCACAUCACGAAAGCGCACGCCUUUCAGCCGCGCGGUGCGGAUAUAUUGCUGGGUCAUCACCUCGGUCAUCGAGGCACGGGUCAUCCGCGAGAUAUAGCCAAUGCCGUAAAGUGCGAUGGUCAUCACCGGCAGGGCGAAAUUCCAAAAGGUG